rnacentral:rRNA from 1 species
AGCAGUAGCCGCGGUAAUACGAAGGGGGCUAGCGUUGCUCGGAAUGACUGGGCGUAAAGGGCGCGUAGGCGGCGGCCAAAGUCAGGCGUGAAAUUCCCGGGCUCAACCUGGGGGCUGCGUUUGAUACUUGGUUGCUUGAGUGGGGAAGAGGGUCGUGGAAUUCCCAGUGUAGAGGUGAAAUUCGUAGAUAUUGGGAAGAACACCGGUGGCGAAGGCGGCGACCUGGUCCUUGACUGACGCUGAGGCGCGAAAGCGUGGGGAGCAAACAGGAUUAGAUACCCGCGUAGUCCCUGUCUCUUAUAA